rnacentral:rRNA from 1 species
GUAGGGGGGCGAGCGUUAUCCGGGAAUUACUGGGGCGUAAAGGGCGUCUAGGCGGCGGCCUAAGUCCUAUGUGAAAGCUCCCGGGCUCAACUGGGGAGAGGGCAUGGGAAACUGGGCAGCUCGAGACUCAGAGAGGGGUGUGGAAUUCCCGGUGGAGUGGUGGAAUGCGUUGAGAUCGGGAGGAACACCAGUAGCGAAGGCGGCACCCUGGCUGAGAUCUGACGCUGAAGCGCGACAGCGUGGGGAGCGAACGGGAUUAGAUACCCCGGUAGUCCACGCCGUAAACGAUGACAACUAGGUGUUGGGUGUCCAAGGACGUUCAGUGCCGCAGCUAACGCGAUAAGUUGUCCGCCUGGGGAGUACGGCCGCGAGGCUAA